rnacentral:lncRNA from 1 species
AGUUGUAACCGAUAGACUGGGCUGGGGCAACGCUGAUGAAAGGCAAAUUCCUGAGAGAAAAAUCACCCAGACUUUCUAGAAGUUGUUAUGAGUGGACCUGACUACCUAGAGAGAGUAAUACAGAAGCUCCGUGCCGAUCACAGCUACCUCAUUACCAUGUUCCUCCAAGAUGGCCGCCCCUGAGGAGAAUCAUCAACUGGGCUUUACGGAAGAGAGAAAUCCAAACGACCAUCAGCAACAAAUGAAAGACUGAAGUUGAAAGGCAAGUCUUCAGAUUUGAAUUUCAAGAUUGUCAAGAAUGACGAGUUGGACUUGGUCUAGUUACUUCCACAGCAGCAGGAGGAACAUGUGUGUGACUCAGGAUAACUGGGGAAGCCUUGGCUAGGCUUUCCUCAUGUCAACCUACCACUCAAAGGGAGAAAACCUCCUGAUCAGAGGUGCCCAGAACCCAGGAAAUCCAUAAUUUUUGAAUGCUGGCCGAGGUCUGUGACCUCUGACUGAAUGGUUUCCAAGCUCCGAAUUCCUAGGUGAUGUUUUCAUUUGUUCACACUUGCUGAAGAAGGGAAAGGCUCUCUGAUUUACGUGUAAGCAAAACAAUCUAAACAGUAGGAUAAAAUCAUGUUGGAAUGGAGUUCUGUGUGGAUGCUCCUUUGAACCAAAUCAGUUCCACAACUGACCCUGUCAGGGACAUAUAAAUUUAGCAUUUUGGUGUGGAUACAGAAGACGAGAUUAACACAGAUCAAGUAACAUGGAAAUAAAAAAGGAGACAAUGCUGGAUGAUACAGGGGCAGCCAACAAGAGGAGAAAACCCAAGCAUUGGCAAAUGCCUCAUUAUCCAAAGAACACUGAGGUGUGGAGCAAAACUGUGUUGAAUGAACUGUAGAUGGAAAUUCUCUCCUUCCCACCGAGGAGCCGCUGCAGGUUGCAGACUCCCAGAAUGCCACACUGAGAAGAGGAGGGCUAAAAUUCUAGAGCAGAAUCCCUGGGGCAGCCCCUGCUGAAGAAGGGUGCAUCUGUUGAGAAUCUCAUCACCGCCCCCACCCCGCCCAGCCUUCAAUUUAGAGGAAUUUCUAGUUCACGCAGAAUGAAGACAAGAUCACAUAAGUGAGGACGACGCCCCAUUUACAAGUGUGAUUUGGAAGACUGAAGUGGAAACCUUGGGAAGGGGCCUCAGAGUAUGUCAGCUGGGGUCAGACGGGAACAGGAGUCUGGCUCAACACACAUUUAUUGCACUCCUGUUUCAUGCCAAGAAAUGUACCAAAAUCUGGGACUGUGUAACACAGCAAAGGAAAAGACUCAUCUCCAGGAAGCCCCCUUGUCUAGGAAGAGAAAUUGAAUAUCAGCAUAAGGUGGUGAAAAGCUGUGAAGGAGAUGAGUGCCAGGAGUCCAUGGAGGAAGGAUUCUAGCCUGGACAGAGUCUCCAUGAAUUGCAAGGGAAAACAAGUGGUACACUGGUAUUUCUAUUUGAUAACCUGUUCUCUUUGGAAUUCCGGUUAGAAAUCAAAGGCUUACUUGAGUUUUAAUGCUUUCGGGACUUCAAAUGCUUUUCUAUCUUCCUAAUAAUAUAUUAACAUUUUCUGAAGACAACAUAUAUGUGGAAAACAACAUUAUUUACUCAAAUAAUUUUUUUUGAAAAAUGGACCAAAAAAAAAGAAAAACCAACAAAAA